CAAUUUAGCGUCUUCACCAGUGCUUUAGCUGUGACGUAAUUUGUUGUUUCAAGUAAAAGAGUUAGAAGAGAAUUAUCUUCUCAAAGUUAUAUUCUGCGAUAAGCCUAUGAAAUAAAAUAUCAUGAAAUACGAUAGGCAGCAGAUAUAAGGUAUUGUUUACCUAAAUAUUAAGAAAUUCCAAAAGGCCAUAAAUUCCCAAACUAUCUCAAUGAUCAAAGAAACAUAUGGUGCGAUGAAAACCCUUUAUACAGUGUCGGGCCCUUUGAAGGUUUCUGAUUCAUAUCUAAGCACGUACGAUACCAUAAAAAGAAAUAACAUACCGAUAUUCUAGAUCACGUUUCUUUAUGCAUUCUUUUCCUUUCCCAUAAACAUAAGAUUUUCCUUUAGGAGAUCCUGGUAGGUGUACCCUCCUACUAUUGGAAAAUAAGUCCCAUUUAGGUUCUUCCCUCUCCAAAGGGGUGUAACUAACUAAUGUAUAAAAACCCGCGAAAUAAUGCAAGAAGCGUUCUGUCCAUUAAGUACUUUUGCCUGUAAUACACAUUGUCUGUUAUAUAUCAUACAUUUAUACAGUCACAUCGAACAAUUGUAACAUAGUCGCCAAGACUCAAAUUAAUAAAUCAUUGUUGACUAAAGAA